GAGAGCCGUAUGCGCUGAAAGGUGCACGUACGGUUCGGUGGGAGCGUUCUGGUUGCCAGGCCUCGAAAGAGAGCUCACGGUGCUGGUCUGCGACCCAAC
rfam:Chaetomium thermophilum var. thermophilum strain DSM 1495 mitochondrion, complete genome.